rnacentral:rRNA from 1 species
GAUGAACGCUGGCGGCGUGCCUAAUACAUGCAAGUCGAGCGAACAGACGAGGAGCUUGCUCCUCUGACGUUAGCGGCGGACGGGUGAGUAACACGUGGAUAACCUACCUAUAAGACUGGGAUAACUUCGGGAAACCGGAGCUAAUACCGGAUAAUAUAUUGAACCGCAUGGUUCAAUAGUGAAAGACGGUUUUGCUGUCACUUAUAGAUGGAUCCGCGCCGCAUUAGCUAGUUGGUAAGGUAACGGCUUACCAAGGCAACGAUGCGUAGCCGACCUGAGGGGUGGAUCGGCAAAACGGAACCUAGAACAGGUCCAGACUCCUAAGGGGAGGCAGAGGGGGGGAUUCUUCAGAAAGGGGCGAAGGCUGAACGAGGCAAGGCGGGGGGAGGAAUGAGGGUUUCCGGAUGGUAAACCUCUGUAUUAGGGAAGAACAAAUGUGUAAGUAACUAUGCACGUCUUGACGGUACCUAAUCAGAAAGCCACGGCUAACUACGUG